rnacentral:rRNA from 1 species
GUAGGUGGCAAGCGUUGUCCGGGAAUUAUUGGGCGUAAAGCGCGCGCAGGCGGUUUUUUAAGUCUGAUGUGAAAGCCCACGGGCUCAACCGUGGAGGGUCAUUGGAAACUGGAGAACUUGAGUACAGAAGAGGAAAGCGGAAUUCCACGUGUAGCGGUGAAAUGCGUAGAGAUGUGGAGGAACACCAGUGGCGAAGGCGGCUUUCUGGUCUGUAACUGACGCUGAGGCGCGAAAGCGUGGGGAGCAAACAGGAUUAGAUACCCUGGUAGUCCACGCCGUAAACGAUGAGUGCUAAGUGUUAGGGGGGUUUCCGCCCCUUAGUGCUGCAGCUAACGCAUUAAGCACUCCGCCUGGGGAGUACGGCCGCAAAGGCUGA